CGUCCACCGGUGGAACAAUAUUGGCGAAAAGGUUUCGUCCACCGGUGGACGGAUUCUGGACAAACUUUAGCUAGAGAAAUCCGUCCACCGGUUGACGGAUUCUGGACAAAGUUUAGCGAGAGGAAUCCGUCCACCGGUGGACGGAUUGCCCGCCAAUCUUGGCGAGAAGAUGGACAAAGUUCUGCAAGAAGAAUCCGUCCACCGGUGGAACAAUAUUGAGGAAAAGGUUCCGUCCACCGGUGGACGGAUUUGUCGGACAAUUUUUUACAAAAAGAAAUCCGCGCCCCGGAGGAUGGAUUGCUUGCCAAAUUUGGCAAAAUGAUUAGGUCCAACGGUUGAUGUUUUUAAGAGCAAUGUUCCGGCCUCCGGUGGACGGAUUGUCUGCAAGAGUAGGCAAAAGAAUCGGUAUGGACAAUCUUUUGCAAAAGGAAUUCGUCCCCCGGAGAACGGAUUGCCUGCAAGAGUAGGCAAAAUAAUCGGUCCACAGGCGGACAAAAUUUUUUGCAAGUUCUGCAAGAGGAGUCGCUCCACCGGUGGACGGAUUGCCUGCCAAAGUUGGUAGGACGAACCGGACCAACUUUGGACAGUUUUGAAAAGGACAUUAUAAUAUUUUUUUUUUACUUUUUCCGGCAGAACCAUAGAACCAAGUGGCCAGUGUGGAAGCGGAAUGAAAGGGAUCCGGAAAUAUGGGCCAGCGGUUGCAAGACUUUAUCGGGAACCUAAUGUGGCGGUCCGUUUCGAGGACUAUCGGAUGCUGCGGGAAAUGAUCUGGUUGAGAAAGCGAUGUUCUCCAAGACAACCGGUUGACUCAUCACAAUACUACCAGCAGGGACCAGCGUACCAAAAUUCACCAGAGCUUUUGAACGAACCCGUUCAUGUCCCAACAGCAAGUCAUGGUUGUCAAGAAAAGAACACCAACAAUGACCAACAAGGGCCGGAAUGCUGCCGACGAGUUUUAAGUACCUUCGGCGUGUGGUGAAUCAGUCCGACUCGACGUUGUCCAUCAGACAACCAACUUAUGCGAAACGACGAAAUCCAGCAAGAACCGAGCUGCAGGCAAAUGUGGCACGAACGGCCAUCCUACUCGUUAGAAACGGGCUCUAUCAUUGUCACCGAUUUCGGCCGGCGGCAACGAUCAACUCCUCCACGGGCUUCCCGGCGGCCGGCGACCAACGACACGCUUAUGAGCAAGUUGCAGCUCUACGACGACGAGGAGGCCAGCACGUAGUCGCUGCACAAGUUUUCCGAGACGCCUGCCUGACCGGAUCGAUGAAAACACGAAGCUGGAGAAAAGUGAACAACGUCAUGGCCGCAGGAGCCCUGUGUAACUUUUGGUCCUGGAACGAAAUCCUUGACCUCGAUAUCGCUGCACCACCCAACGCGAAGCAGCCUGCCGGAACCAGGAGAGAUCGUGACCAUUUUCCCCAAGGAACCAACAUUGAAUACCAUGACAAACUUUCUUGCACGAAGCUUUAUUUUAUAAAAUAUGAUCCUGUCAUUAUAUUUUGUAAUUAUUAUCAAAUAAUUCAAUAAAAAUGCCGUUUAGUUGUUUAUCAAUUAUUCA